CUCCAGAAUUUCUCUCUCUCUUUCUCUCUCUCUAUCUUUCUCUCUUGGUUUUUUUAACUGAUGUAAUCCUGACAGUGUGAAACAAGAUCCAAAUAUUCACUUUCAUUUUCAUAUUUAAUACACUUUUUGAAUGGUUUUUAAUUUUUUUCCCGCUUAAUACUACGCACAAUUUUAUUAAAUACUCAUCUUUCCGAGAAAGUCUUGUAACUUUUUUUUUCUUUAUUUUGUUACAGACGGAAAAUACGUACACUGGAGAAAUCCAAAAUUGGUAACUAAUUACAGAGGAGGAAGAAGAAGAAGAAGAAGGAGAAGAACAAGAAGAAGAAGUAGGAAAUUUCCACCCACAGCUGGUGCCAAAUCGGUGGCAAUUAUGCAAUAUAUAAAUGACGUUCAAGGCCAAUGACCUAAAGGCACACUCAAGGUAAAUUUGUAUAUAUAUAUAUAUAUAUAGUUAAAACUGCACCCGCGAAAAUGUGAAUCAAGUGCAGGACACGUUACGACUUUUUUCUCUCUCUCGCUCUCUUUUUCUUUUAGGUGCGUGUGUCGUGUCUGAUGAGCGCGUCGAAGAGACGAGAGAAGAAUAACCCAAAUUUCUUCUUUACGCACGUUUCACUUAUAUACAAAUCUAAUAUAUUCGCGUAUAUCUUAUAAAUUCUCCUUCUCGUCGUUGUCGUCGUCACCGAUACGAUACUUUAUUUCGACAUAUAUAUAUAAUCCAUGAAAGAUAUCGUGUUUCUAUUCAUAUUUUUUUUCUCUCUUUUUUUUCACAUCAACCCAGAGACCUUUAUUCAAAUUAAGUUAAUCUUCAUUUUCUUUAACCGGGGUAUCAACUCACGAUGACUUUUAGUCAGAGAAUCCACUCGACUGUUAAAUGUUGUCUAAAAAUAGGCUACCGGUCUCUUACACUGCCGAAAAGAGUGGCAAUCAAAUAAGGGAAUAAAUUAUUUGUACGUGACACAAAAGUGCGCUCGAAAGGCUCAUUUAAAAAAAUAUAAGUAUUAAAAAUGAAAGUAAAAAAAAUUGUGUAUACGAAGGAUUUUCACGUGAAAAGCUUAAUGAUUUUUUUUGAAUAGUGUCGUUCAGGAAGUAUGUACUGUUAAAUUCAAAGAAUAGAAUGAAAAUACGAUUAAAUGACACGUUUACGCAUAACUGGCAGUUGUUGCAAAGAGGUCACGUUCUCUGGGUUAAAGUCCAAAUAAAAAAUUCCCACAAGGAUUUCAAAAAUUGAAGAGUUGGAGAUGAAAAAUGAAAAGGACGUUAAAUACCUUAUUUUUGGACGGCAUGUUUAUUGAGAAUCCCACCUCAAAGAACGAAAAAAAAUUGAAUUUUCCCAAAAAAAAAAAAAAAAUGGACACUGUCCAGCUAUAUAUAAUCAAGGGAACGAAUGAUAUUAAAAUGCGACAGUGUUUUAUCACUGAUGGACGUGCCCACAGCUAAUUCCCCACUACCUAACACAACUCAUCUGACUUUAAUUCUCUUCCCCUUCAUAUAUAUGAAGUGCCAUCUUCCUUUUCAUUUUCUCUUCAAUUUUUUUUCCUCUCACUUGUGCUAAUGUUGUGCCGCAAAUAAUAAACAAAGCAAAUUGCGAUAGAUAAGGUACAAAGUUCUAGUUGUAUUUUAACUUUGUAUGAGUGUGCUAUAAGGUAUUAUAUGAUAUGAUAGCAGAGAGAAAAAGGAGAAUCGGUUGUAUCCGUUUUAUAUUGCUGGGGCGCGCGCGAGAGAGCGAUUGUUGUUUCUUUCAUAUAAAAAAGAAGAAAAUAAAUAAAAAAAAUUGAGUAUAUGGAUAGUUGACGUCUCUACUAAUAAUUGUGGAUAACAAUUGAGUUUAAUCGUCGCAUAAACUUCUCAUCAAGUUGUUGUAUAAAAUAAUGUAUAGAAACGAAAAAAAGUUCAUUUUUCAAUUCUACACCCAGAGAAAAUUGAAUUCAAAAUAAUUGAAUUUUUGUUAAAUAAAUUUAUUAAGUUCUAUAUGACAAAUAUAUUUUUAUUUGACUCAAAUAAAUUUUAAAGAUUUUUUUAAAAUACCAAAAUGUAAAGUUCGAUUCUUUUAGUCAAUUUUUUCAAACCUUUUUUAGCCACUAGCCGUAAAUAUUUAAUUUGAUGUUAUUUAAGUGAAUACUUUUCAGUAAUUUGAAGGAAUCGCGAUAAUUAAAGGGUCGUAUAUGUAUAAUUUGAAUAAUUUGCUUUGAUAUCAGUAUUUCCAAUUUUAAAGACGUUGAAAACUUGUCAACUUUUUCCUUCAAAGGCAAGUAAUUUGAGAGAAACUAUCUUC